UACGGAGGGUGCGAGCGUUGUCCGGAAUCAUUGGGCGUAAAGGGCGCGUAGGUGGCCCGGUCAGUUCGUGGUGAAAGCGCGGGGCUCAACCCUGCGUCGGCCAUGAAUACUGCCGCGGCUGGAGCACUGUAGAGGCAGGCGGAAUUCCGGGUGUAGCGGUGGAAUGCGCAGAUAUCAGGAGGAACACCAAUGGCGAAGGCAGAUCUCUGGGCCGUAACUGACGCUGAGGAGCGAAAGCAUGGGGAGCGAACAGG
rnacentral:rRNA from 1 species